UCACACACAGGGCCUCGCCCGCCCAGGCUGCCUGCUCCGGACGUUCCAGAGGAAACCUGGAAGUGCACAAGGCCCUGACCCCACCCCCGGCGCCUGCACCACUGAGGAAAGGCUGUGAUCACGGCCAUGCACCUGCAGCUCUGUAGGGCGGCACCUGGACCACGCGUCACCAGGGCACAUGCUGCCACCACAGCCCCGGGUGGGCAGAGAGCAGGGCCGGCCGCCCCUCACUACUCGCCAGUCUGAAAGGCAGGAGCAGCUUCCCCCAGGUCCGUCCUCCUCACCGGAAUCUCCGGGGCAGUUUUCAUACGUUUUGAACAGUCCUAAGUCAGAACCCGCAGGGCUGGGUCCAGGAAUCUGGACGUACCUUUUAUACCUUGGGCGAGUGUGAUCGCAGCUGCCAGCCCUGGUCUGCCCGCCAGCAUCUGCCACCUUUAGGAUGGGAUGGUGCACCACGCUCGUGGGGCCAGACGCCAGCCUUGCAUCCAGCUCACCUUGGCACGGCUCUUCCCACUUCUCUGCCCU
rnacentral:lncRNA from 1 species